rnacentral:rRNA from 1 species
UAGAGUUUGAUCCUGGCUCAGAUUGAACGCUGGCGGCAGGCCUAACACAUGCAAGUCGAGCGGUAGCACAGAGAGCUUGCUCUCGGGUGACGAGCGGCGGACGGGUGAGUAAUGUCUGGGAAACUGCCUGAUGGAGGGGGAUAACUACUGGAAACGGUAGCUAAUACCGCAUAACGUCGCAAGACCAAAGUGGGGGACCUUCGGGCCUCAUGCCAUCAGAUGUGCCCAGAUGGGAUUAGCUAGUAGGUGGGGUAAUGGCUCACCUAGGCGACGAUCCCUAGCUGGUCUGAGAGGAUGACCAGCCACACUGGAACUGAGACACGGUCCAGACUCCUACGGGAGGCAGCAGUGGGGAAUAUUGCACAAUGGGCGCAAGCCUGAUGCAGCCAUGCCGCGUGUAUGAAGAAGGCCUUCGGGUUGUAAAGUACUUUCAGCGAGGAGGAAGGCAUUAAGGUUAAUAACCUUGGUGAUUGACGUUACUCGCAGAAGAAGCACCGGCUAACUCCGUGCCAGCAGCCGCGGUAAUACGGAGGGUGCAAGCGUUAAUCGGAAUUACUGGGCGUAAAGCGCACGCAGGCGGUCUGUCAAGUCGGAUGUGAAAUCCCCGGGCUCAACCUGGGAACUGCAUUCGAAACUGGCAGGCUAGAGUCUUGUAGAGGGGGGUAGAAUUCCAGGUGUAGCGGUGAAAUGCGUAGAGAUCUGGAGGAAUACCGGUGGCGAAGGCGGCCCCCUGGACAAAGACUGACGCUCAGGUGCGAAAGCGUGGGGAGCAAACAGGAUUAGAUACCCUGGUAGUCCACGCCGUAAACGAUGUCGACUUGGAGGUUGUGCCCUUGGAGGCGUGGCUUCCGGAGCUAACGCGUUAAGUCGACCGCCUGGGGAGUACGGCCGCAAGGUUAAAACUCAAAUGAAUUGACGGGGGCCCGCACAAGCGGUGGAGCAUGUGGUUUAAUUCGAUGCAACGCGAAGAACCUUACCUACUCUUGACAUCCAGAGAACUUAGCAGAGAUGCUUUGGUGCCUUCGGGAACUCUGAGACAGGUGCUGCAUGGCUGUCGUCAGCUCGUGUUGUGAAAUGUUGGGUUAAGUCCCGCAACGAGCGCAACCCUUAUCCUUUGUUGCCAGCGGUUCGGCCGGGAACUCAAAGGAGACUGCCAGUGAUAAACUGGAGGAAGGUGGGGAUGACGUCAAGUCAUCAUGGCCCUUACGAGUAGGGCUACACACGUGCUACAAUGGCAUAUACAAAGAGAAGCGACCUCGCGAGAGCAAGCGGACCUCAUAAAGUAUGUCGUAGUCCGGAUUGGAGUCUGCAACUCGACUCCAUGAAGUCGGAAUCGCUAGUAAUCGUAGAUCAGAAUGCUACGGUGAAUACGUUCCCGGGCCUUGUACACACCGCCCGUCACACCAUGGGAGUGGGUUGCAAAAGAAGUAGGUAGCUUAACCUUCGGGAGGGCGCUUACCACUUUGUGAUUCAUGACUGGGGUGAAGUCGUACAAAGGUAACCG